AUAUAAUAUAGAAUUUAAUUUUUUAUUUAAAAAGUUAAAAUAUAUUAAAAAGACGAGAAGACCCUAUAGAGUUUUAUAAUUAAAUUUAAUUGAAAUUAUUUAUAAAAUUAAAAUUAAAAUUAAUUUAAUUAUUAUAUUGGGGUGAUAGAAAAAUAUGAAAAACUUUUUAUAUAUUUAUAUUAAGAACAUCAAUAAAUGAUUAAAUGAUCCAAUAUUAUUGAUUAUAAGAAAAAAUUACCUUAGGGAUAACAGCGUAAUUUUUUUUUUUAGUUCAUAUAAGAAAAAGAGUUUGCGACCUCGAUGUUGGAUUAAGAUAAAAUUUAAAUGCA
rnacentral:rRNA from 1 species